UUUCAAAUGUCUACUGAUGGAAGUUGGUUCCAUCAGUGGGUAUUUGAAGUU
rnacentral:pre_miRNA from 1 species